rnacentral:rRNA from 1 species
UACGAAGGGGGCUAGCGUUGUUCGGAAUUACUGGGCGUAAAGGGCGCGUAGGCGGUGUGUCAAGUCAGGCGUGAAAGCCCCGGGCUCAACCUGGGAACCGCGCUUGAGACUGGCACGCUCGAGUUCGGGAGAGGAUGGUGGAAUUCCCAGUGUAGAGGUGAAAUUCGUAGAUAUUGGGAGGAACACCAAUGGCGAAGGCAGCUCACUGGGACGGUAUUGACGCUGAGACGCGAAAGCGUGGGGAGCAAACAGG